rnacentral:misc_RNA from 1 species
UGCUGAAAGAAGGCAUCAAAAUUUUGUUACUAUUCUUUAUGGUGACAUUUGUCUGUAGGCGACAACAUUUACAAGCAAUCUCAAAGUAUCAAGAUAAUUGUUUAUUUAUUUGGGGCAGGUUUUAGAACUGUCAUUACAUACUAUCAUUUUGGCAACUUCUAUUUUAUGUUAGUUACUUAUAAUUGAGCUCAUUGUAAAAAAGACGUUAUAUAUGAAUACCAAUAUAUUUUAUGUCCUCUAGGUGGAAUCUCUUUGUUGCCAUUUUGUAUGAAGCAUGCAUCCGAUCCUGCCGUGAAUUCAACUGUUAAUGCUUUGGAAAAGUAAUUAUUGAUUCAGACACCAGUGUUUUGUCAGCCUAGGUUGUGAAUGCUCUUAUGCUUGGACAUUUCUUGUGGAGCUCAGCGGGUUGGAUGCUGAAAUAUUCUGCUUAGAACUUGAAAUUUAGGGAGGAAAUGUUGCUUUUUUUAGUUGGCAUGGAGGGAUGGUUGUUGACAUGAAAUGUCUGAUUGGGAUAUCUAGAUUUGUGCUGUCACUCUAGACAUGAAAUGUCUGAUGAGGGUAUCUAGAUUGGUGCUGUC